rnacentral:rRNA from 1 species
GAUGAACGCUGACAGAAUGCUUAACACAUGCAAGUCUUUGGCGAAUCUGUGCUUGCACAGGCUAGCCAAGGCGGACGGGUGAGUAACGCGUAAAGAACUUGCCCUGCAGACAGGGAUAACAGACGGAAACGACUGAUAACACCUGAUACAGUUGCCGGCACGCAUGUGCCUGGCAAUGAAAAGAGAUGCUGCAGGAGAGCUUUGCGUCCUAUUAGCUUGUUGGUGAGGUGACGGCUCACCAAGGCGAUGAUAGGUAGCCGGCCUGAGAGGGGGAACGGCCACAAGGGGACUGAGAUACGGCCCUUACGCCUACGGGAGGCAGCAGUGGGGAAUAUUGGACAAUGGGGGCAACGCUGAUCCAGCAAUUCUGUGUGCACGAAGAAGGUUUUCGGAUUGUAAAGUGCUUUCAGAAGGGAAGAAGAAAGUGACGGUACCUGCAGAAGAAGCGACGGCUAAAUACGUG